UAUCUGCUGAACUCUGUAAGGCGAAUUUGUUAAAAAUAGAGUUAAAGAUUCUUGACAGUUAAAGAUUCCGUUGUUUGGACAAUGCCCAAUCUAACCUCAAAUGGGUUUUUGGCAGUAAGGUUUUCACUGGUGUUGGGAGGUCUAGGAGCCGUCCACCUGGCCAAGGAUAUAGAGGCCCAUCAAGGACCCACAGAGGUUCCUACUCCACACAACGACCCUUC